UCUCUUUUCCUUUUCUCGGCAAUAUGUGGUAGUAGGAGUUCAGGCGUCCUCUUUGGCAUAUGCAAAGUCUAUGAGAUUGGAUACACCCGAAUAUAGAGCCAGAUAUAAAAUACAACAAGAAAAGACGAGAUACACGUGGAAAGCUUUUCUCUUCGGUGGAAGGGCAUGGCUUUGGGUUUAAAUUGCGGGCGGCGAUUGUGGCAGAAAAGGAUGAGAGAGAAAGAAGAGGAGAGAGGGAGAGAGAGCAUGAUCCAGCCCUCUUCUAUGCAGACACUGUGACCUAACAAGACACUUUUAUUGUGUGCUGGGAUGUUUGCAACGCUGUUGAUGUUGUCUACAAGUUGUACUGAUCAUCUGAAGAUACCAACCAGCGGAUAUACUUUGAUGUUGAACCUCUAGGUUGACAUCUUGGUCCAGGCGGUCAGGUAUAAAGCGGGAUUUUACAUUUAUGGUGAUCUAUUUUGUCAAUUGUCCACUCUAACAGUCUUUGCCUUCGGGAUGGUCUAGUUCAUAUAUAUGAUCUUUGCCCACUGGAUUUCAGGCUUUCAGGCUGCAUCAGGUCUGAUACUGUAAUUCAAGGGUUUUGUGUUCACUUAUGCGUUUUGUGUUUAGUCGUAUUAGAUUUGCCUGAUAAUGAACAUUUCCUUGUGUUCCAUGAUGAUGCCGAUACAGUAAAUGGUUUCUCUCUUCACCCGAUUUUGCCAGUGGCUGCUUCUCCGUGACACCAAAGAUUUGAAGUUCCUGAGGACGAUGAUGCAGUUUGUCACUUACGGGGUGUCAUAGACGUUCCUCUUUUGCUGUUAAAGCUUUACAGCAUAUUUCACUUUGCCUUGUUGAAUGAGUUGGUGCUUGUGCUAAUUCAAUCGAAAUAUUGGGCCCUAGGAGAUCCUGCAUAGGGUUUUUUUCUUGUUCGGUUCUUUUCCAAAGUGCUACUGGAGGGUCUUCUGGGGACCAAUCUUUGCAACUUUCAUGGCAAAAGGAUAUCCUUUUUUUUCCCCAAGUUCUUCGGCAAGCUAAGAUUAGGCCAUCUUGAAGUUUUUGUUGCGAGUUUCAACAGCCAGAGUCUAUUCUGCGUUCCUUUGAUGAUGCACUUGGAUCGAAUUGUUGCACGUUCGGUUACACAGAUUAGAGUAGAUAUCUCUCGUGAGCCAUCUAUGCAUGCCAUUGGUUUACGUUGUAUUAUCGUCUUUUGCAGGUGAUGAGAACUAUCUCUCAAUCUGGAGCUUCGCUUUUGAUUACGCAGCUAACAGUGUGAAAGCUUUCAUUAUGUAAUUGCACAAAGACAUAAUCGCAGCAAGUAAUACGCUCUCUGGCUUAACAGAUGUUUCCUUGUGACAACAUAACCAAUAGAAAUGGUCUUUGUUAAGGAAUUGUCAACUUGCUCUCUUUGGCAGAUAGCCUCUGAACUGCAACACUGGUUUCUUUCUCAGAGCCUUUAGUGGAGAGUAAAUGGGAUUCGAGAAUCAGGAAGAAAGUUUUGCCUCCGUACCACAGAAUUUGCAUAGCCGAAUUGGUCAUUUGGUUCCUUUAAUGGAGCAAUUUUAUUGCCA